CUGCGCUAAGCGGGGAGUUAGCGGUGCCCUGAACUUGCAAUCCGCUAUAGCAAGGCUGAACGUUUUCCCCGGCUCGCCGUAUGGUUGGCCGAGCGUGGUAAGGCGUGUUGAUUUUAAGGUCUUAUGCAACGCAACACCGCGAACCGUGUCAGGAUAGGAAUAUAGCAGCACUAAACGGUUUCUUGCGUGUGCCAUGAGGUAGCUUUAAAGGAGCGACCUGCCCCGUUACCGCUUCGGUAUGACGUGUCAAAGAAAACUGCGCAG
rnacentral:SRP_RNA from 1 species